UAUUUUGACUAUGCGAAGGUAUUGAAAUAAGGCUUUAAAUGAGUGCUAAGAGAAUGGUUUAACAAUUUUAAGCUUUCUUUAAUUAAAAAAUUGAAUUUAAUUUUUUUUGUGAAGAAGCAAAAAUUUAAAUUAGGGACAAGAAGACCCUAUGAAUUUUGAAUUAAACAAUAUAAUUUGUAUAGGUUUAUUUUGUUUAAAUUAAUUGGGGUGAUUUGGAAAGAAUAUGUAUCUUUUUAAGAAAAUUAAUUUGUUCCGUUUUUAACGAUUUUAUGAAAAAAAUA
rnacentral:rRNA from 1 species